rnacentral:misc_RNA from 1 species
UGCCGACCUACCGACGCAACCACCGCACCCCCACACGCGUGCAAGAACGGCUGCGGCGCGGAUCUAUCACACGCGCUGAAUCUUCUUGGGCGAGCGAGGAAAAGCACCAUUCAAAGCAGGGGGCGGGCGGACGAACUGAGACGACGACUUCAAAGCAAGGGGGCCGCGACGUCUUUUGUCUAUCGCGACUCCUCAUUGCCGACUCAGUGUAUCUGCGACGUUGCCCUGCUCCACUGUGUAUUACUCUCCCCAAGAAGUGAAAACAGCGAUUUUUGUUUCGCCUGCAGCACGCUGGUCGGCUCACUCAUCACUUCCACCACGCGCAUACCCGCACACACGCCACCCACACUACCCCGUAUUUAUUUCUCCCGCUUUCGUAUCUGGGCAUACAUACGCACAGAGUUCACGCCCGGGGCAACGCGGACGUCUGGGAGGCGCGUACCAUCAAAACGGCAAAGCAAAGGAGCAAUAUCCUUUUCUCGUCUUCCUGCUUGACUUCCUGCCCCGUGCUCCGAGAACGGAGUCUACACCCCGGUACGCACCGCCUUUGCAUCGUAAGCGGCGUGGUUGCUAAACUGAUACAGGAAAACAUACGCACACACACACACACACACACAAAGAAAAGCGUCUCUGUGUGCGCAGGCCCGCGUGCGGGCCAACUAGGAUAUCCGUGCCACCUGCAUUCUUCGGCUUCUAUCCACCCCAUCUGCACGCGACGUUCGCUGAUUGGAGCAGGGAAAAAGAAAGAGACAACGUGAGACACAGAGUCGAAGAGACGCGCUCGGUGCUGUUCGCUGGCGCUGCUGCGGCGCCUUCGCCCAUUUUUUCUGUGGUUGACUUUAUUGGUGUAGGCCCACUCUAUGCGCAACUCUCACGCAUCAAAGUGAUUUUAUUUUGUCUGUUCGCGCAAGUGCUCUGAACGGCAUCUGGUCGCGUGCCGUUCUUCUGCUUUUUUUUGGUUGUCUUUGCGUGUUUCUGGCCUCUCCCCCUCCUGCGCCCGGGAACACUAGAGGACGGAGAGGAGUCAUCUCGUGUCUGGAGUCUGAAGUUUGCUGUGUUUGUGCGUGCGUGUGUGUCUCGUUCUCUGUUCCUUUUUUUCUCUUCCGACUAUACGCCAGCGUCUUUUGAUCUGCAGUCGCCGAGCACGCGCUUUCCCUCCCCGCGAGUUUUGUAUCUUCUCCUGUUCUUGUUGUUCGUGUCUUAUUUGCGGCGCCGCGCUGCCUGUCCGCUCUCGUGCCUCCUCAUCUUUGGCUACGGAUCUCUGUUGCCCUCGCUCUCGUCGCCUUGCUUGCUGUCUGACUUCGUUGUCUCGCGUGUGUUGUGACGCACCUUCCCGGCUUCUGCGCUUUCCAGCUUUCUCUCUUCUUCUCUCCCAUCUAUUGACACCGACGCUCUCAUCGCGAACGGCCCACUGUGUCUGCACCCGCCCCUCUCCUCCGUUGCCGUCUCACUUCCCUUUUGCCGUUUUACGGGUUCCCUGCCUUUCCUUGCCGCGUCUUCUCGGCUCUGUCGCGGCAGCGUCGGCCUGUCGAAGGCAGCCCGUGAAAGAGUCGUUACCGAGCCUUGACCGAGUGCCAGGUGCACGCGCGAGGACCCUCACGCCCUCACUCUCGCCGUCUUGUUUUUCGUUGUUGUUGUUGUUUUUUCAGCCUGCGGUCGAACGAGCAACGUUGUGGCGGCUUGUGACAGUGUGGUGGUUGCGCCCGUUUCCGCCGCAUUCGCGCGCAACCCCCGCUUAUAGGCUCUAAAUUUAACGAGGUGACGCUUGUAACUCUCUCCCUCUUACCGAGCGGUUGCGGGGUAGGCACGCCGCGCGGUGUAGUUCACCUCUCCCACGCACAAUGGCAGAGACGCUGGCCCCCAACGACGUGGGUGGCAUCUCCGUCACAAAGCUCUUCAGCAGCGAUAGCACCGCCGCGUUGGGUCAGCAGCUCAGCUCCAUCUUCUCGAAUCUCAAUAGCACGCCGAAUGACCGACAGCAGCGCGCUGAGGAGUGCCUCAGCGCCUUGACAGACACCCUUUUCCUUCACGAAAACGAGCUUGGCGCGAACGAAUCGCUACACGAGCGCAUCAUUGCUCUCAUCGACGGCACCUUCUGCACCUCUGUUGACAAAGGAUGUAGCUCUUUCCGCGUCGUCUUUGACGUGAAAUGGAAGGAUCAGCACGAGAAGAGAAAUCGCUGCUUCGUUCUACUGCUGAGUCGCGCAUUCAAGUGCACCACGCCGGAGGACUGCCUGAAAGUAAUUCAGUGCCUCGGCGAGGUACUCGAGGACAACAUUCGCACGACGACAGACCUUUUAGCAGAUAACGUGGAGCCGCUCCUGAGAGACCUCUUCGCGGCUGACGUGCACCGCCGCACCGUCGCGUGUGAGGUGCUUGCCAAGAUCGUUUCGACGACAACCUUCAUCAUUAAGCGAAACCCGACACUGCUGGAGCUUCUUACAUCAUCGUGUGCGCCGCUGGUGACACUAAAGGAUGCGAUGGAAACUCGAAACCUGUGGCACCGCACGGCGCUCAUCCGCCUUACCUCCGCUCUCGUGGAGAACUGCUACGAGGUGACACCGGCAGUGGCGAAGGACGUGGCCGACCUCGUCUUUCGCUACAUGCGCGCUGCGGAGGAUGAGUCGCAGCUGGUCGGCGUUCUCUCCGCUCUCAUUCACGUUGCCGUGACGCCAGCGUUUGUUUCGGCUCCGUGGGAUUUGCCACAGCUGGUGCGCUUUCUCUGCGAGACGGACUGGUCUGUCUACGCCGUCGCCACUCGCGUCGCCGCCGUCGCUGCCAUAAACAAAGUGGCCUUUUUUUUUUGCCAAGAGGAGAAGGCCUGCUACGAGGCGCUGCGGACGCGUUCGCUGGAGUUCAUCUCGUUGGACGACGCUGUGGAGGUGGUGACGGAGGGGCUCGAGCUUAUAAAGGAGAUGGAGGUGCUGGAGAGGGAGCUUCACUUGGGGACCGCCGUGGUGAACGCGCUCUGUGCGUGCAUCCAGCGGCUGCCCCACGUGCCGAUCAUCUAUGAGUUGCUGGAGCUCAUUCGGGAACGCUACGGCGAUCUCGAGGUGAAGCCGAUCUAUUCCCUCUUAGAAGGCUACCUAGACACCAAGCAGGAACUGCUGAACUUUGGCAAAGUGAACGCGCUGCUGCGCUUCGCUGGGCCGCGAAUUCGCUUGGACGACCCAAGGCUCGCACAGCUUCGCAUCAACGUAGGCGCCAACCAACCGAUUCCCGUGAUACUGCAUUCACUGCCGCUGCUGACAACGCUACAGCGGACGGAGCAGCUGCACGAGGUGCUGGAGAUUCUCUCGCACGACGACCGAGGUGUGCGGCGCGUCGCUGUCUCCACAGCGCUGGAGCUGUGCGAGAUCAUGAUGGAGCGCAACAAGUUUCGAAACGCCACGCCAAAGGGCGGCGUGCAACGCAUGCAGUGGCUCGAUGAAGAAGUCAGCAACGCGGUGGAGCGUGUGCUCGACGUCGCCGUGGCGGACCGCGACCCGGAGAUUCGGCUUUGGGCGCUGCAGCACCUGACCGUGCCCUUCUUCCCGUACCUGUGUCUUUGCGACAACCUGGAUGCCAUCUUCAUGGCACGCAACGACAACGACAAGGCAACACGGGACCAGGCGCUGACGCUGCUGUGCCAACUGCUCCCAUAUCACCCGACGGUUGUACAGCCGCAGCUGCAGCGUGCGCAGGAGUACAUGCUGCACGACGUCGCCACCAUGGACGCGUCCGUGUCCUUUGCGGUGUGCAAGGCCGGCCUGCUGAAGAUGUGUGUGGACCACGAUGCCCUCCUCAUUGAGAAAAGCACUGUCGAGGCGAUUGUGCUGCGGCGUCUGGAGGCGCAGCCCUUCAUCUCUCGAUCGCUCUCCAUCGCUUUGCUGCAGCUCAUUCGCUCGAUCCUGGAGCGCACAGCCUCGCAACACCACUCCGACUUCCACUCGUUUUUACGGCCGCUCCUCCUCAUCGUCAACGGCGGCGACUCGUGCACACGCCGCCGCGAGGCGUUGGAGACUCUGACGGCGUUCAUUAGUCACAUCACCAAGACGGACAUUUCAGGGCUGAGUGAGGUGUACCGAGCGGUCGCCCGCAUCAUCCGUCGCGAGACGGAAGAGGAGGAGUCUGUGACGAUCGCUGCCAUGAAGGUGCUCAGCUCCAUCGGGGCUGUGACCCCGGUGAAGAUGCGCCACGUCUUCCGCAUGGUGGAGUCGGACGAGAUGGAAGAGGAGGAGGAGGUGGUGACGCCGGCACUGGCUCACUGCAAGCCGCGGCUGCGCAUUUCCACGGAUAUGCCGGAGCGCUACCCCUCCACCGUGCUGUACUACCUCGUUCGCUCGCUGCAGCUUGCGUUGGAUCCGAAGCAGCAGGUGGACACGCUGGUAGCGGUGCGGACGAUGCUGCAUGAUGUGGAAGGCAAGGUCAAGCUCAACCUACUCACCCAGCUACUUCCGCAGCUGCAGACGUGGCUGCGCGAUCCGGAGCGUGCGUUUCUGUACGAGACGGUGCUGGGCCUGAUGAAUGACCUCGCCAUUCUGCUUUGUCAGUUUAAGGAGUCUGUAGCACCAUCCGUCGGCCACGAGCUGCUCCGGUCUGUGCAAGCCUUCUGCCUUCUUCCGCAGGCGAGCCAGAAGCCUUUCAGCGCGUACGUUGUGCAACUGCUCGACAGCCUGGCAAAAGGCAUCCCGGCGCAGGAGAUGCGGGACAACCGGUGGGCCAUCGAGUUUAUUCACCAGCGACUCUCGCAGAACAAGAACGACCUUGACCUGGUGCACCGCGUUGUCAAGUCCCUCGAGUCCUUCAUUGCAGUAAUGCACGAGAAGGAGCUCCAGAUGAUCCUGCCCCACGUGCUGCAGUGCAUCGAGCCGGCGAAAGCAUCUCCUGGCGGCAAGCUCUCCAAAUCGAAAGACAUCAACGACGCCUGCUUCGACUUCUUGAACUUUGUGAUGGCGAAGCAGCUGACGCUUGUGAAGCACUGCUGUGCGCAGAUUGUGCACACCAUCAUGUGGUACAUUGAGCUGGCCGACAGCAAUGAGGAGAUGGAUGUCGGCCUCAACACGCUCGCGACGCUGGUGGACACGGUGAAGAUGCCGGCGAAGCGAUUUAUCAUGCCCAUCGAGCGCGUGGCGGUGCGCAACGGCUUCCCGCCGCAGUACUUCGUGAACCUUGUGCAGAGCGCUGCCGGUGGUGCAAAGAUCCGCAUGACGACGUCGAACGGCACAGGCCUCAACCCGGACCGCCCCAUUACGCUGGUGUCACACCUGCCGCGUCUGUCACAGGCCGAGUUUGAGCACGAGAUGCGUAGCACGCCGCGCUCGGAGAACGUUCUCAUCGACGUGCUAGACGUCCGCCACCACCAAGGCCAGACCAUGAUCGACUUCCGCUUUCACCCUGGCACGGACACGGCGGCGUGCUGCAACCUUUUCAGCCGCAAGGCCACCGACAACAAGUCCACCAUGCGCCGAAAUUUGGGCAUUCUGCGCGUGGAGCAGACGGAGGAGAGCCCACGGCCGGUCGGGGCGGAUGUCAUCAAGGCACUGGCGAACUUGCCGGUGGCGAAGACGAAGAAGCGAGAGCAGUCCUGGGUGUUGUGGCUGCACAACGCUACGGUGACGCUUCUGCGCAAUUCUCCGUACGCCGUGUUGCGGGACACCUGCGCCGUCGCGGACCGCAACACGGAGCUGGCCAAGGAUCUUUUUCCCUUCGCCGUGGCUGCCGUGUGCGGGCACCUCGAGACGCCGCUGCGGGCGCAGCUCAUGGACAUCUUUGACCGCGCGCUUGCUGCGGCACCUGCCGACGUGAAGCAGGGGCUCUUCUGCUUCGCCGAGUUCAUGGAGAGCGAGCGCGAUGAUGACCGCGUGAAGCUUGUAAAGGUGAUGCGAGAGAGUGUAUUCAGCGUGGAUCGCGAGUCGACCAGUCAGAAAUUCGGCAUCAACUACGACCAGGACCCGGAACGAGGUGUUAUUGUGACGAAGCUGGCACCAAACGGCCUCGGCGCCCGCGCCGGUGUUCCGAUCGGGGCGCAGCUGCUCGCUAUCAACGAUAUCCCGGUGCGUGCGGUCAGCGAUAUUCGGGGCCUCAUUGAGGGACUGACGCACAUUGAGCUUUUACUGUCGUACGAGGUGGAAGAGAAGACGAAAUCGAAGCCGAAGCCGCUCAUGAACUUGGAGGUUCUGGCGUCGGUCGCCUUCAGUGGGGAGAUGCACAUCAAGGCCAUCUACUUUAACGAGGUGCUCUUCGAGAGCCUCUCCAGCAAAAUCUGCAAAAUUACGGACCGCAAGGACAGCCAGAUGCGCCGCGUCAUGACGAUUGCCGAGGAUCUAAUUCAGUAUUACCGGCACUUGAACAUGACUAUGACAGCCAACGGGCUGUUGAAGACACUCACGCGCAAAUUUUCCGAUGAAAUCUUUGCACCGGAGCAGUUCGGCUUCGAGGAGAUCGCGUCGUUGGAGCAGCUGAACUGGUGGAGCGAGGCGCUGCGGCGAUACGAGGCGCGCAUGGCCAGCUUCGGCGCCCGUUACCUCGAGGUGGCGUCGCUUGUGGGCGUGCUGCGGUGUGAGCAGGCGCUGGGGCACUCGAGCCGCGUGCAGGAGCUCGCCGAGCAGUACUGGGAACAGCUGCCGGCCGACGCGCAGCGAGAGGUGGCACCGUUCCGAGCUAAGGCAGCCUUCUGCCUUGGGGCCUGGGACACCUUUGAUGCGCUGGCGUUAGACAAGCGCAUGCAGAGCUGCUUCGGCGUCGUCGAGCGCUGCGCCGCACUGUUUCGGGCUGAGUGCCACGACGAGCUCUUGCGGUACACAGACAAGGUGCGCGAGUCGAUGCUCGAGUCCUUCGCCGACUCGCUGAACGAGAACUACAACCGCGCGUACGAGGGCAUGACGCGUCUGCAGCACUUGCGCCAUUUCGAAGAACUCGUCUCAUUCACCACGGCUUGCGAGGAGCGGCAGGCACUGCUGAAGCGCGUGUGGCAUCGCCGGCUCGUGCAGAUGUCCUCCCGGCCGGACGACCUCAUGACGGUGCUCUCCAUCAACUCCCUUGUGCUCGAGCCGGAGGACGACCUGCACUCGUACGUGUAUGUAAUCCGAUGCCUGUGCAAGUCGCAGUGGUUCUCCCACGCGGAGCACCUCCUGCAACGGCUGCUGCGUGAGAACGCCUCUCUCGAGGUCCUAUGCGAGUGCGACCCGGAGCUGAUCCACACCUACAUCAAGUACGUGUACCUCGCCAAGGACAAGCACGGAGCGUACGUGGAGCUGAAGAACAUCCUGUCCGCCGUCGAGGUCGACCCCGAAGACCCGCGAGCCGAGAUGUGGGGACAGUGCUGGCUGCUGCUGGGCGAGUGGACCAUGUAUCUCUUCCCCGAUUGCGGCGAGGAGGCCAUCAAGGAGCUCAUGUGCGCCACGGAGUUGGGCCCCAACAGCGCCGCCGCCUUCCAUUCGCUCGGAAUUCUGCACUGCGAUCUCGCCCGAGACCCGAGCACACAGGGCGAGGUGCAGAACAAUCACCUGAUCUGCUGCAUCAACUCCCUUUUCAAAUCCAUUCAGCUCUGCAACGACGUACCGGGCAGCCUCGUGAUGCAGGAUGUACUACGCAUUCUCUCCGUCUGGUUCGCCAACAGCAGCAUACGAGAGAUCAAUGAGGCAGUGCAUCACGGCGUGCAGGUGGUGGCGGACCACGUGUGGCUGAACGUGGUGCCACAGCUCAUUGCCCGCAUCGGCAUAGAGGCCCGCUACGCCCGAGCCAUCCUGACCGACCUGCUCAUUCGCGUAGGGUCACAGUACUCCCACGCCCUCAUCUACCCUCUCACGGUGGCCGAGAAGUCGCCAGACGCGGUGCGGCGGCACAUGGCAGAGCGCGUAAUCAUGGGCAUGCGCAACAUCCCAGAGAACGACCGCAUUGUCAAGGAGGCGUCCUUAGUGAGCAACGAAAUGGUGCGCAUCGCCAUUUUGUGGACAGAGAAGUGGCACGCGGCGAUUCAGCAGGCGGCCUACAAGCCAAACAACACAGCCGCUAUCUUCUCCAUGUUGCAGCCUCUGUACGCGGAGCUCGACCGCGCCUCCACCCCAAACGAGCUCAGCUUCAGGUGCAACUUCGGGCAAACGCUGCGCCGCGCCAAGGUGGCCCUGGAGGAGGCAAAGACGGAGGAGGCGUGGGGGUUCUUGCGGCAGGUGUACGCGCAGCUGCGCCGCGGCGUACUAGAGCGUCGGCUGUACAUGAGCGAUGUCUCGCCGACGCUGGAUGGCAUUCAAGACAGUAUUGUGGCAGUGCCCGGCACCUUUGAGCAUGACAAACCCCUCAUCACAAUUCUCAAGUUCCACAGCCGGGUAUACGUGAUGCCGUCCAAGCAGAAGCCGCGCCGCAUCGGCCUCGACGCGUCCGAUGGCAAAAAGUACCGCUUCUUACUCAAGGGCCACGAGGAUAUGCGGCAGGAUGAGCGCGUCAUGCAGUUCAUUCGGCUCAUCGAUACCAUCUUCCAGUCCGAUAACGCGGCGAGUGCGAUUGGACUGAGCAUCCCGCAGUACGCUGUGAUUCCGCUCACCGACAACGUCGGCGUCGUCGGGUGGGUGGAGAACACAGAGACGAUCUACAAGAUGCUGGAGACGUACAGGCAGGCACACGAGGUUUCCAUCUACGAGGAGGUCAACCUCAUCAUGAAGAAAGGUGGGCUGGACACAAUCGAGGACUACCACCGGCUGCCAAAGCAGCAGCGAAAGGCGCUGCUGAACUACGCGAUGGAGAACACGCCAAAGAACGAGCUGCGCCACAUCUUCUGGGAUCACAACGACACGUGUGAGCAGUGGCUGAGCUACCGCCAGACUUACGGCCAGACGCUGGCGGCCAUGUCUAUGGUCGGCUACGUGCUCGGCCUCGGUGACCGCCAUCUCAACAACCUGAUGCUGCAAGGCAACGGGACGGUGGUCCACAUCGACUUUGGCGACUGCUUCGAGGUGGCCAUGCAUCGCGCCCUCUACGCCGAGGCUGUUCCGUUCCGCCUGACACGUCUGCUCGUGUGCGCUCUCGGCAUCACCGGCGUAGAUGGUCUUUACCGCAUGACAUGCGAGCUGGCCAUGAAAAACCUUCACCGCCACAGCGAGAACCUGCUGUCCAUUCUCGAGGCCUUCAUCUACGACCCUAUCAUCAACUGGCGACUCAACACGGUCAACGAUGUCACGGAGAAGUCCGGGUCCAAGUCGGCGCAGCAGGAGAGCAGCAACGGCGGCACCGCUGCUCUCGCAGGCGAGACGGCUGCGGCGGCCUGCUUGGGGGUCGACGACGCAGCACAAGCGGAGGCCAAACCUGUUGCGAUGCAGCUGUCCAAGUCCGUUUCGAAGCCGGUGCCGCACUCUGCCUUGCCAGGGGAGAGCCAGAUGUUCGAGAAUGGUGAGGAGACGCGCAACCAGCAAGGAGACUUGGCUCUAGCACGGGUGCAGGCGAAGCUCACCGGCCAAGAUUUUGGCGUGGUGAACAGUUCCUUCUCUAUGAUGCGCUCCUCGCGCCGUCUCGAGGCUGGCGGCUCCCAGCCGCAGGGGUCAUCGUGGGGCUCGAACAGUCUCGCCGGCUUCACCGACUCGCCGAAGGACUCGUUCGCAGCGCCGCUCCUCACCACCUACCUCUCCCUCCGUGUGUUGAACGGGGGUGCGGAGAGCCUCGACGUGCCGCACCAGGUCGACCGCCUCAUUCAGGAGGCGACGAGCCUCGACAACUUGUCCGACGCGUUUCUCACCGGCUGGGCACCCUUCUGGUAGAGGAUCGGCAGCGCACAUGCUUUUUAGAGAGGUUCUUCAAGCCCAGCACACAAAACAAUCGUGGAUCAGCCGCGGCAUCCCCUUGACAUGCAGCGAAGGUGAACACGUAGAGGCUCGCUGUACUCAUGACUGCAGCUUACGGGCUGCAGCUUCGGCGUCCCUCAGGGUGGUGGGCGCCUUCAUUUUGCUGCACCCGUCCCCCUGCGGCCUUCGUGAUGCUGUGCAGCUGUGGCUCCUCAAUUCAUCGCAGUCCUCACUUAUUUCUUGCUGUCGUUUUCAGCCUUCUUCGUUUGCCGUUUCCCUACCGCUUUAUGCUGCGACGGCAGCCGUUUCACGGGCGAGGGCAUCGCCCACCUCGGGAGCGCGUACGAGGCGCAUGAAGUCUCUCCUGUUUCCCUCUCGCCUCCUGUCUCUUUCUCUCUCGCACCCGUUCGCUUGGUCUGUGUGCGAACCUUUCCCGUUGUACUCUAGUAGUAAAUCGACGCCUGAGAAACGAGAAAGGAGAUCACUGCCGUCUCGAAUGCCGGCGCAUAUUUACAACGUCUUGGCUGUGCGCCGCAGCGCUGCGGCGCAUCGUGGUUGCCCUUCCCGAGAUGAGGAUGCUUCGUCUCGAGUCAAGCAGCUCUUCACGUCCCUGACAUGCGAACCGC